UUCUUCCAUCUAACCAUAAAUAUGAAAGAUUAAACUGUAAUGGUAUAAUUGAUAAAUUGACAGUAUCUCCAAAAUAUUUUAACAAUAUAUAAAUUUGAAUUUAAUGGCACCACUGUUGAUCAUUUUUAACGACCAAAAUCAAUGCCACCACCACAACCAAGCACCACCAAAGAAUUAUUUUUCUCCGAAUCGAAACAGAACAUACCACCAUUUUUUUUGUUUGCGACGGGAACGAAAUCGUGCCUUUCAAGAAUUUUUGGGUUCCGAGACCAAAGGAUCUUUCACGGAGUAUGUGGAAUCGACGUGCAUUUCAACGAGAGCUGAUUGGUGGGUCUAAAUGUGCACGUCUAUUAUCUUCCGCAAACGGCCAUCUACAGGAACCCUCAAUUUUUCUCUACGGAACCUGGAUUAUGUAGAAAUUUAAAAGAACGGCAAGGGGAAACGCUAGGCAUCAUCAAAAGUCUGGCGACAAUAGUGGUUUAUAGUUGACGUGGAAAAUAAAUAUAUCUAUAAGUGGCGUAACAUUACAUUGCCAAACAUCCGGACAAUCAUAAUUGCCAGCAGGAGGACUUGCAGGGGGGUAAAAUCUGCUGCAAAAAUUGAAAUACCCCCAGAAGGAUUUCAACCAGCAGUGAUACGAUUAUUUGGCCAUGGGAAGAGACCACUGAAUGCUUGUUAGGAAACAGGAAAUCACUAUACUGUUGCUUCCACAGGAAUAAGUUUCAACCCUAUCAACGAUUCCAGUAUGCAACCUUUAACCAUCCGGACUGAAAGUCCAGCGGGUCGGAGAAUGAAAAGCUGCUCGUCAAGCAGCAGGGUAUUUCAUCGUUGGCACCACUGCUAUUCCAAGCCGCGAAGAAUGCACUUCGGCACUAAAACGAAUUGUCCCCGAAUCUGGAGAAAGUCGAGCUCUGUGACAUUCUGUCGAAGAACAGAAUUACCUCUCGCUGAAGCGAAUCCAGAUUUAUAGAAAUUAAGUCGAGUGUCUCUGCAUGGUCGAGGCACGGAACGCAGAAUUAGUCGAUUCAACGGGAAACCUCUGCAGGUGAUAGAUGGCUACGGAAAAGUCAAAGCAAAUUCGUUAACGCAUGGGGUUGCAUGGGAAAGAAGUGGACAUCGGUUGAUGGCCAAUCCGUCUUUCUUGAUUGCCAGAACCGUUCUUCGAGAGGUUUAUCAUCUAAUACCUUGCGGCUCGCUCACAGGGAACAAUUUCUUAAUCGGAUGACAUAAAGGUGGCAACAUCAAGUUCUGAUAAAGACGUGGGAGAAACAAAUGAUGCCGGUAAAGACACAAGUCUUACUUAGUGAUUGCCAUUCAAUCCUUACGCCAUCCAAACUGCAUCAACCUACAGAGUUAAAUUUAUUGGUAGACAUGGAGGAA